UGCUCGUUGGUCUAGGGGUUGAUUCUCGGUUGGGUGUGAGAGGUCCCGGGUUCAAAUCCGGAUGAGCUC